GCUCCGGUGGCUUAAUGGUUAGAGCAUCCACCUCGGAAACGGGAGGUCAUGGGUUCGAACCACGGCUGAGUCA